CCGCCCUCCAGAGUCCGUUUUAUGGGGAUAAGAUGAACCUUUUUACUCUGUGUAAAAAGAUUGAGCAAUGUGAUUACCCCCCACUCCCCACACAGCACUGCUCCGAAAAGCUCCGGCAGCUGGUCAGCAUGUGCAUUAACCCCGAACCCUCCCUGCGGCCAGACAGCAGCUACAUGCACCAGAUCGCACGGCAGAUGCACAGCCGGACGUCGAGCACCUGACCUGCGCGGCUCCUCACACGCUGACACUGGGGGGUGAGCAGCCACACAGCCCCCCCACCCUCUCAGGCUGGUGAGCGAGUGAGCGAGCGCUGCUGCUGUCGGGAGUGAACCAUCGCCUGGGCACGGCCUCGCCGCAAAAUAGAUUAUUAGCUACUGUUAGAGACAGGAUUCACGUUCCAUCACUUGUCCACGAGUGGAGAAGAGGAUUGAUCGUCUCCGAGUCUGGUUACAUUUUUGAAACUGUUGUUUUAUAUCGUCCUUGUUUCAUACUUAUUCUGUCUUAAAACUGAGACGUGAUGGAAACAAACUGCAUCCAUGGUGCAGGACUUGGAUAAGAUGUGGGCAGAGAUAUACACACACAAGACACACAUACAUACAUAUACACACACACACGCAAACACAGUGGUAUUAAAUGUGUAACGGUCAGUAUGAUGGGACGGGAAUUGACGGGGCUGCUCCCUGACUCUCGCUGGUUCAUGUUCAGCGUUCCCCGGAGUGGAGCGGGGUGGGGUGGUAGGGUGGGGUGGGGUGGAUAGGGAGGAAUUUAAAGGGAAAAUGAACAACAUUCCCACAAAUUAUACAAGACCCAGAACACAUUGUGGGCAACAGUCACCUCCCCACUCCCUUUCCCUCCACUUGGUACAGCCACAACUCUCCCCCCCCCCCGAACUGCACACACAGAGCCACAAUCUUCCGACUGUUUAAAACUCGACUGUGAAAAGUUUGUCAAAAAUGUGAUUGAUUUCCUGUGUAAACGCGAGGUAUAUUUUUGGAGAUCAGGGAACAGAUUACCUGCCGGUGUAAAACCUGCUGCUCAGCCACACGGUGUGACAGAGCGGUUUUGUGGGUCAGCACUCUGGUGACUUCCAGAGGAACGAGAGCCCAGGGACCCGCACGGACUCAACAUCAGCCACCGAUACAAGAGCCGGGUUCGAGUCCUGUUAUUUAUGUGUUUUUUUGUUAUUCUCUGGACUUUUAAAAUAUACACAUUUGACAUGGAUUGAAUUGCUGACGGUUGCCACAGCAACACGGUGUGUAAAGAAACUGUAAGAGGAGAAUGUUAUUUAACGUGUUUUGACGCCGUCACAAAGAUGACCAAUUAAAAUUGAUGGAUUUAA